rnacentral:rRNA from 1 species
GAUGAACGCUAGCGGCAGGCCUAAUACAUGCAAGUCGAACGGUGUAGCAAUACAUAGUGGCGCACGGGUGCGUAACACGUAUGCAACCUACCUUAUACUGGGGGAUAGCCUUUGGAAACGGAGAUUAAUACCCCAUAGUACAUUUAGAUGGCAUCAUUUGAAUGUUAAAGAUUUAUCGGUAUAAGCUGGGCAUGCGUCCAAUUAGUUAGUUGGUGAGGUAACGGCUCACCAAGACUUUGAUUGGUAGGGGAACUGAGAGGUUAAUCCCCCACACUGGCACUGAGAUACGGGCCAGACUCCUACGGGAGGCAGCAGUAGGGAAUAUUGGGCGAUGGAGGCAACUCUGACCCAGCCAUGCCGCGUGCAGGAAGAAGGCGUUAUGCGUUGUAAACUGCUUUUAUAUAGGAAGAAAUAGUCCUUGCGAGGAAAGUUGACGGUACUAUAUGAAUAAGCACCGGCUAACUCCGUGCCAGCCGCCGCCGUAA